GUGCCUUGCACUGUCAAAAAUGAUUGGCAGCAGUUGUACAUGCUCUGUAUGUUUCAGACUUUCGGAUUUGGUCUGCAGCAAAUUAAAGUUUGAUGAAUGCUGCCUUUGUUGCCGAUUUUAUAUUCAUAGCUGAUAGUGCCAAUUUUUAGAGCGGUAAAAAAAACAUAUAUGUGUUUGUAUUACCCUGUGCACAUGUAUUACAUUUGUACUGGCAGCUUGUAACAGGUCUUGUGGCGUCCAUUUGGCUUUUGUUUAACAUGACUUGAUUCCUUUGCGUUUGCAUUUAUGUGUUGUGAUCCUCAUGACUUCGUGGCUAUAUCGCGGGUAUUGCUCAUUAGGCAUUUCAUGUUGGUAGUGCAUUCAAUGGCACGGUCCUUAAUAUUCAUGAUAAGUCCAUCUGUGCGGCGAUCGGUUGUCAACUGGAGGGCCAUUAUCCCAACAACAUAUGCAGCUAGCUCAGUCGAGCAAAGGUGGUUCCUUCUUGAUAUUCUAGGUCAAGGUAAUACGGAUUAUCACCACACGCAAACCCUCUGUACUCAGCGAUGCUGUCAGGAAUGAUACGUCGCACGCUGCUUCAACUUAAACGAAGUCGAAAGUAAUAAGAAAGACGGAAGUUGGAGAGGUCGAAGUUAUGACUACGUACACUUGCGUUUUCGCCCUUGCCGUAGACAGAACACUUGGGUCGAUGACAGACGUCCUUUCCAUGGAUUCAACCAACAAGGGUUGUCUUGGUUUUUAACACUUAAUCCUCACGUCCAACUUAAAAGAUCCUAAAGGCGUUUGAAAUGAAGUCAAACCAACAACAAGUACAAGCCCCUCCAUUUACGAUGAUAUGCUCACGUUAAAUUCUAAGACGCUUAUUAUUAGAAUGCUAAUUGUAGGAAACUUUGUGAAUUUGGGAUGUAUGGUUGGAAUUUGUACUGAGUACUAUUCAUGAAAUGGAAUUGAGGCAUGCUGGUAUUGAAAUUGUAA